rnacentral:rRNA from 1 species
CGAGAGGCCCAAACGUUAUUCGGAAUUACUGGGCUUAAAGAGUUCGUAGGCGGCGCAGAAAGUAGGGUGUGAAAGCCCUCGGCUCAACCGAGGAAUUGCGCUCUAAACUACUGUGCUUGAGGAAGCUAGAGGUGAGCGGAACUGAUGGUGGAGCGGUGAAAUGCGUUGAUAUCAUCAGGAACACCGGAGGCGAAGGCGGCUCACUGGGGCUUUUCUGACGCUGAGGAACGAAAGCCAGGGGAGCGAACGGGAUUACGAUACCCCGGUAGUCCUGGCCGUAAACGAUGAGCACUGGACCGGAGGACUGCACAGUUUUCCGGCGUAGCGAAAGUGUUAAGUGCUCCGCCUGGGGAUAUGGUCGCAAGGCUG